GACGAACGCUGGCGGCGUGCUUAACACAUGCAAGUCGAACGAUGACGACCGAGCUUGCUCGGUCUGAUUAGUGGCGAACGGGUGAGUAACACGUGAGCAACCUGCCCUUCACUCUGGGAUAACCUCGGGAAAUCGGGGCUAAUACCGGAUAUGAGCUCCUGUCGCAUGGCGGGUGUUGGAAAGUUUUUCGGUGAAGGAUGGGCUCGCGGCCUAUCAGUUUGUUGGUGAGGUAGUGGCUCACCAAGGCGAUGACGGGUAGCCGGCCUGAGAGGGCGACCGGCCACACUGGGACUGAGACACGGCCCAGACUCCUACGGGAGGCAGCAGUGGGGAAUAUUGCACAAUGGGCGAAAGCCUGAUGCAGCGACGCCGCGGGAGGGAUGACGGCCUUCGGGUUGUAAACCUCUUUCAGCAGGGAAGAAGCGAAAGUGACGGUACCUGCAGAAGAAGCGCCGGCUAACUACGUG
rnacentral:rRNA from 1 species